AAUAACGCCGAUUCGACGACUAAACCUCGCCAGAGACACCCAGAGUUAGUGAUAUGAGGAGAUAUAGGCCAAAAACAGCCGGAUUCAUUAUCUUCCAGUGGAUCCUCCAGUGGAUUGGAUUUUUUACAUAGAAAUCGUAUCGAUUUUCUUUGGAGAGGAGGAAAGUCGAAAAAAAUGAAAGAAGGUAGAGGAAGA